rnacentral:sRNA from 1 species
CUACGGGCCGUGUCAACCGGGCCUGACGGUACGAUGAACAGGAGGUCUUUUUCCCGGUUUCUCCUCCUGGCCAACGAAAUGGCAGACGAGCAUCUACCCCGUCCGCCCC